CAUUCCUGACAGCCAGAACAUUUGCUUGGUCCAGUAACUUCUUUUGAAUCUGAGGACAAAUUAAGUCCGAGAGUUUUUCCUUAGCUUCAUCUCCCUGUCCUCACCCUUCAAUGUGCUAAAUGGUAUUCUUCGACUUUUUGCCUGUUUGAUGUGACAUAUUUCCAUUUUGAGGUGCUUUGGCUUUCAAUAUAACUCCUGAAUGUGGACAAGAACUUAUCUAAUUUCACAUGUUAUGUUCCUAUCCUAGGAGAGCAUUCUGUCAACCCAUUUGUAUAUUUUAUUUAUUCUUGAGUGAAAUAUGAUGUAUCUUCUUAGGAGGGUAUCAUUAUUCAGGGACUGGUGCCAGAACAAAUGUCUUGUUCUAUGUAAUGCUGGAGGAAAUCGAAAA
rnacentral:lncRNA from 1 species